rnacentral:lncRNA from 1 species
AAAAUCUUACCUGUUUUUUCUCUAGAGACUUUGAUUUUGUCCAAGAUCGAGUUGAUUUUUGUGGUAGGAUUCUGCCAAGGUCUAAUUAAUGUCACAUUCUCUCCCGACACACUUCACUAUCGUAUAAUGUAUGCCCAACGUGUCUCGUUUUUUUCAUGUCCAUAACUGUUUAAUUGUAUCUAAAUACUUCUGAUAUAUGUGUAAUGUGUUAUGUGUGUGUGUUUUCGUAGCUAUACAGAUCAAGACACGCUACUACUUAUUUAUAUGUAAUCGUAAGUAUUACUUAUUUGUUGACCGG